GUGCUUAAUUUGACUCAACGCGGGAAAUCUUACCGGGUCCGGACACACUGAGGAUUGACAGGUUCCGAGAGUUUUUGCUUCGGCAAUGCUCUCUUAAAUAUGAUAGUCCUUUCAUGAUUAUGUGAUAGGUGGUGCAUGGCCGUUCUUAGUUCGUGGAGUGAUCUGUCUGCUUAAUUGCGUUUCACUAAAGGCGUCAUAUCUGUUUUGUUGCGUGUUUGACCCCUCUUCGGAGCGCGUGUCUUCACGCACAAUUACUUUGGCGUCUGAAAGCAACGAACGUGACCGUAACCUCUUGUUGCCUUCUCUUCUCCUCGGAGAAUGCUGUUUGUUUUUGCAGGCAGUAUAUGGAGGCUUUUUUACUCAACAACUAGAGGGACCGCUGUUUCUUUCUUUAAACCAGAGGAAGGAUACGGCAAUAACAGGUCUGUGAUGCC
rnacentral:rRNA from 1 species